GAUGAACGCUGGCGGCGUGCUUAACACAUGCAAGUCGAACGAAGACAUCUGAGUGCUUGCACUUGGAUGGACUGAGUGGCGGACGGGUGAGUAACGCGUGGGUAACCUGCCUUAUACAGGGGGAUAACAGUUGGAAACGACUGCUAAUACCGCAUAAGCGCACGGUAUCGCAUGAUACAGUGUGAAAAACUCCGGUGGUAUAAGAUGGACCCGCGUCUGAUUAGCUUGUUGGUGAGGUAACGGCCCACCAAGGCGACGAUCAGUAGCCGGCCUGAGAGGGUGAACGGCCACAUUGGGACUGAGACACGGCCCAAAACUCCUACGGGAGGCAGCAGUGGGGAAUAUUGCACAAUGGAGGAAACUCUGAUGCAGCGACGCCGCGUGAGUGAAGAAGUAUUUCGGUAUGUAAAGCUCUAUCAGCAGGGAAGAAAAUGACGGUACCUGACUAAGAAGCCCCGGCUAACUACGUG
rnacentral:rRNA from 1 species